ACUGGCAGUUGACUGUUGAUCCGUCGUAUCGAAUCGAAUCACAGCCAAACUGUUGGUUA
rnacentral:pre_miRNA from 1 species